rnacentral:rRNA from 1 species
UUGCAGGCUGCAACUCGCCUGCAUGAAGUCGGAAUUGCUAGUAAUCGCGGAUCAGCAUGCCGCGGUGAAUACGUUCCCGGGCCUUGUACACACCGCCCGUCACACCAUGGGAGUCGGUAACACCCGAAGCCGAUAGUCUAACGAAAGAGGACGUCGUCGAAGGUGGGAUUGAUGACUGGGGUGAAGUCGUAACAAGGUAGC